CCCUUAGAUGUUCUGGGCCGCACACGCGCUACACUGAAGGAGGCAGCGUGUACUCCUGGAUCGAAAGAUUUGGGUAACCCGCGAAUCUCCUUCGUGCUAGGGAUUGAGGUUUGCAAUUAUCCUUCAUGAACGAGGAAUUCCCAGUAAGUGCAAGUCAUAAGCUUGCGCUGACUACGUCCCUGCCCUUUGUACACACCGCCCGUCGCACCUACCGAUUGAAUGGUCCGGUGAAAUCUCGGGACGGCGGCUUGGUCGCUUGCGUCCGACUGCUGAAACUUGAUUAAACCAUNUNAUUUAGNGGAAGGUGAANUCGUANCA
rnacentral:rRNA from 1 species